rnacentral:lncRNA from 1 species
GCUGUGUAGAGAGUAGGUGGGAAAACUGAGAAAGGUGGACAAGCCACACCGAGGACGCAGCUGCAGACAGAGGCCAGCCUGAGCUGCUUUCUGGAGAAAACCCCCACAGCUCAGCAACCUGGACAGGACUUUGGCGGCUUCAGAGAGCGGACAAUUGCCUCAGAAGUAACGUGCAGUGAAUAUCCUUGUCAUCCUGGUGGUUUCACUGUGGAUUCCCUUUAUUCUCCACCUAGGAAUAUGAUGAAAGUCACCCUAAAGUUCAUCCACAUUGGAAUUUAAAGAUGAAAGGUAUUAUCAAGUGUAAUUUUCUGGAUGUGAAAUACCAGCAACAGAGAGAAGAAGGAGCAGAAAUAAAGCCACUUCAGAGCACAGGCACUAACCCAGAUUAGUGAGAGCAACGUUGCCACAUAUGCGUUUUAAUCAGUUGAGAACCUCUGCUUCUGAGGAACAAAUCGUCAGUCUUGUUGGGGCUGUAGAUGGGGCAUAAGAAGGGAAAGCCAAGAUUUGAAAUGAUGGAACGUGGCGUUUCUCCAAUUGUCAAGAUUAUUCUGUAACCAGAGUCUGAGGUAUUCCAGGGAAAUGUACCUUUUUGAGGACUUGCCAGGAGAUUAUUUUUGCCCUUAAGGUAGAAUCAUAGACAGAAACUUUUGUUCCAUAAUGUCAGUAGCUGAGGCAGCUGUGACACCCACUGCUCUGAGGCAUGGUCUCCCACAGAGGGCCCCUGAGUCCCUCUGCUUUUCCCAUUUCCAGCAGUGGGUGUUGGGCGUGUGGCUGCCUCACGGCUCACAGGUCAGCAGGCCGUGUCCCUCCAGAACAGUUUUCAGGUUUCCAGGUGGUGUGAACCACUGGGAACAUUGGAUGCCUGGCAGAGAAAUUCCAAAAAGAAGAGGCACGGACCAUGAAACUUUUCAAAGAUUUAAAACCAUUGGUCUCAGUUGGGGUCUUGACAUUAUCCCCUCUUGAAGAGAGGAUAUAGAUAACUCUGCACUUUUGUUUCCUUAUCUGCUCAAAAGAGGGGUGGAUUAGGGAUAGGCCAAGGGUCCAUGACUGCCCAUGACUAAAGCCAGCUUGCUUUUCCCUUUACAAAUUGUGGCCUAGGACAGUUUUGUACAAACAACAAUGCCAGCUUGAGGCAUGGAGGGUAACACAGGCCUGAUCACUGUGAGUAUCUUACUUCAUGGACAGCUGGGUUUUGAAUAGUCCCAUCUUCCUUACCUUUAUAGCAGGCAGGCUCCACGCCCAGCUUUUACAGCUCCCUCCUGGGAAACACCCCCUACCUAUCACUCCACUGGUACAGCUGGACUUGUGGAUGAGAAAGGACCCCUUGGAAAGUGCAGAGUUCUGCACACUCAGUCUGCAUUUCAUCACCCAUGUUUGCUUUAUGCUCCUCACUUCCAAGUUCAAAUGGCCAGUGCCACGCCUGCAGAUCCCAUCAUGUUCCAUUUGAGUCCUUUCUCCCCGUGGACAUUAAACUCUCUAUGGAAAAUACGUUCUGCAAAAACAGUAUCUCCUCACUUUUAAAAUUAGCUGAGAAGUAGAAAUAAUAGCUUUCCAUUUUUAUUCUUAAAAGAGAUAUAGCACUUGGCCAAUUCAAGGGUAGAAACUCUCUCUUAAUUGCUUUGGUGGGCCUAGAGUAACUUCAAAUUGACUAUCCUCAAAUACAUGUGGGCUCAGGAAACGAAAAUAAUUCUGUUUUUGGCAAUCACCACUUCUGAGCAAACUCGGCAUCUUUAUCCAGGUCUAAUGACAAAGGCCUAUAGAGUCCAUGGGGAAUCACAUCUUUUAAAUAUCUGAAAAGAGUAUUAAUGCCUAAAUUACUAAUAAUUACACUCAGCUUCCUUUGAAGCAAAGACAUUGAGUGCAGAGGAGAGAAAACAUACCGUAAAGGUGAACCAUCUUUGCACUUGGCUCCUUAUCAAGACAUUGAAUGCAGAGCAGACAAAACAUACUGCAAGGCGGAGCCAUCUCUGCACUUGACUUCUCGUCUGGUUUAAGAAAAGUGUCUCAAGGCCAACCGAAUCUUUGGGUUGAAAAGAGGCAUUUUAGGAAAAGAUAGCAAUUUGGGUUGCCUAUGGGACGUUGGCUCCUUCAUGGAUCUAGUGUCAAGCUGCACACACCCUUGUGAGUUAUAUUCACAUCACCGUGUGAUACCCACAGAGACACUUCCCUCACACAGACUGAUAAAAAUUCCAUGUUGGGCCAAUUUUUAAUCUGCACCCUGUAAAUUCAAAUUCCAUGUGUAGUUUGGCUUAAUACAACCAGCCCACCCUGUGGCUCUCUUUGGCCAGUUAACUCCACUGGCUUCCGGGGAAUUCCCACAAAUCUUCCCAAGGUAGGGUCUUCCAUCCCAGGCCCCACCAGUAUCUGCCUCCACCCAUCUGAAGCCAUUGCUUCUCCUUUCAGGUCCUCCUGCUGGUAGUUAGCAUUAGGGAGGUCCUGCUCAGCACUACAAUUGUGGGGUUCUUUCUUUGAGGCUUAUGUCAUUCUAGCCUCAUUGCAGGAAAAACAAUUAAACCAAUAUAGUUAUCCAGCUUUCAAGGGCUGUGGUCGGGGUGAGUGAGAGGUAGUAGUGGGAAAACAGCACCUGCCUGUCUGCUUGGCUUCCGCAGGGCAGUCCUACAGCUUAAAAUCACUUUCAUGUGUCAUUUGUUAUUCUUCAGGACUGACAUUUGAUUUAAAAAAUUUAUUUCCUUCCAAUUAAUCUUAUAUCUCCUUAGAGAUAUUUUUUUUGCAAAUAUACACCAUAAUUUUGUCCUCCCUAAGCUUACUUUAAAAGUAAAUUAAAAAGACAAUCAACUAACAGGUACUUAUUAAAAACUUAUCUUAUGGGAAGUAUCACUAUGCUGGGGCUAAGAGAGACAUAUAGCAAAUCUCUUUCUGGAAGAAUGUGUAAGAGAGUGAGCAAAGAGUAACCAGGAAUUAAAUCAGCAAGUAAUAAGUUCACAGCAAUGUGGAGGUUCACAGAAGGCCCUGGCAAGUUGGGGUGGGCUGUGAGUCCCAUGGCAGCCCCUGCCCAGAGCCACAGCUUCAGGCCCUGGGUCACCUUAUGCUGCUGGAGCAGAGUCCCCGAGCCCGAUCACACCAGCACACUCUGCCUGCCAACUGUCCCACACUGAGGGACUUACUCCCUCCCCUUCUCUGAGCAUAUUUUGUAAAUACCUUUGUUUUAUAACUUAUUGCUCCAACAUAAUGUAAACUUUUAAUUGCUGGCAUUGUUCAUUUUUUUACUCCCAAGUCACAGCAUCUGCCAAACCCAGUGGAGGUGCGGACGGCAGUGGCAGCAGCAUCCACUCACCGUGUGAGUCCUGCAGGACCCAGGCGAGGCUCUGCCUGGUCACUGAGGCAGAGCUUGGACCCCGCACUUGGGGGACAGUGGGAGGCUGCUGCCUCUAACGGCUCAGUCGAGGCUUCCGUUCUCUGUCCGUGGCUCUAACCAGGCUCUGAGCAGCCUUGAGUCCUCUUCACUCCUGGAACUCACCUGGAAAGGGUUGGUGGCUCCUUCUCUCCAGCACUUCAGUGGGUUCGGGAUGGCAUUGGUGGGGGGAAUGUC